rnacentral:rRNA from 1 species
UACGGAGGGUGCAAGCGUUGUCCGGAAUUAUUGGGCGUAAAGGGAGCGCAGGCGGUUUGAAUAGUCUGAUGUGAAAGCCCACGGCUUAACCGUGGAAGGUCAUUGGAAACUGUCCAACUUGAAUGCAGAAGAGGUAAGUGGAAUUCCAUGUGUAGCGGUGAAAUGCGUAGAUAUAUGGAGGAACACCAGUGGCGAAGGCGACUUACUGGUCUGUGAUUGACGCUGAGGCUCGAAAGCGUGGGUAGCGAACAGG